AUAAGACUCCUGACUUGCAGCCAGAAGCAAUGGACCAGGAUAAGGAAUAACAGCAUUUUUCAAUAGAAAAUGCAUUCAAAAUAUUAUAUUUCCUGCUGCAAGCAGACUUGUGAGGAAUCAGCUGCACUCAACGCACCUGAAUAGCUCUGAUUUCUAAUGUUUUGGAAGUCAGACCUCUCUGCUGCACACUAUACAUGGAGACUUAUGGAAGGCCUGUACUGAGAUAUAUAGGUACUCUUCCAGUUGCUUUCUUGGACAGUAACUACAACAGAGACAUCUGCAGGCAGUAGAAGGGUAUUGCACUCAAUCAAGACUUAAGGGUUUGAAUGACGACUUACCACAAAUAAGAAGGGUGGUCAUCUGUGCUCAGACCCAGGGCAGCCAUCAAGCGGGACUGUGGGGACUGGUGUCCGUGCCCUUACAGAGAGGGGGGCCCAUCCCCGGCUCUUACCGCCAAUACUUGUAGAGCUGCACCAGUCUGUGAAUCAACAGCAGUCUGAUGCACAAGGAGGACUUCUUAAAUCAAGCCUAAUCUGUGCAUUAGCUCUCUGUAAACCAUGCCAGUAGGUCUGCAACACUCCACGUAUAUGUGGAGCAGUGCAACAAAAUAUUUUUUUGGGAGAGGUAGGGGCCAUGGCUAUUUUGUCAGUCCCGGGUCCCCAUAUUUUCUGAUGGCAGCACUGCUCAGACCCAUGGCUCCAAAGGUACCACAUAAACCACUUUAUACCUGGGCCCUAAUAAGUCCUGUGCUGCUGUCAUCACAUUGUGUUGUACAUAUGUGUAGGGCUCAUAUUGGUCCCAUUUACCCUAGGACAGGCAUGUCCAAACUGCGGCCCUCCAGCUGUUGAGAA